UACGGAGGGUGCAAGCGUUGUCCGGAUUUAUUGGGUUUAAAGGGUGCGUAGGCGGCUAUUUAAGUCAGGGGUGAAAGUCUGCGGCUCAACCGUAGGAUUGCCUUUGAUACUGGAUAGCUUGAGUAUAGUUGAGGUAGGCGGAAUUGAUGGUGUAGCGGUGAAAUGCAUAGAUAUCAUCAAGAACACCGAUUGCGUAGGCAGCUUACUAAGCUAUAACUGACGCUGAGGCACGAAAGCGCGGGUAGCAAACAGG
rnacentral:misc_RNA from 1 species